CGGCGUGUAGCGCAGCCUGGUAGCGCACUUGCUUCGGGAGCAAGGGGUCGGAGGUUCGAAUCCUCUCACGCCGACCA
rnacentral:tRNA from 2 species